CAGAGAUGUAGAACACUUCUUCAUGUGCUUUUGAUUUCUUUGACUGAAAACUGCCUAUUCAUGUUCCUUGCCCAUUAAUCAAUUGGAGAAUGGCUUGAUUUUUUGUACAAUUGGUUUAGCUCUUUAUAAAUUUGAGUAAUUAGACCUUUGUCAGAGGUUUUUGUAAUGAAGAUUGUUUCCCAAUUUGUUUGAUGGUAAAGAAGACCUUAAUAUCUUGGAGUGGUUUAGGGUUAUCACUGUGGGCACUGACUAUGUGUUGUUAACAUGCAGACAAAAUGGUCAACAGAAAGUUCUAAUUAAGAGAAUGCCAGACUACAGAGUUGGAAAAUGUCCUGACUUUGCACUUCUAAUAUUUACUGUUUUUUUGUUUGUUUGUUUUUGUUGUUGUUUUUCAGUUGUUUUCAGUCAUGUCUAAAUUGUUGCAAUUCCAUUUGAGAUUUUCUUGGAAAAGAUAUUGGAGUGGUUUGCCAUUUUCUUCUUUGGCUCAUUUUAGAGUUGAGGAAACAAAGCCACUCCAAGACCUUCCCGCCCAGCUGGUGACAUCAGUUACUGAUGGAAUACUGAGACAUCACCUCCAUCUCAGUGGUUAUUUGGAAGCAGAGCUGAAUUCUGACAUGAGGUUAUGCUUAUACGUGGACAUGUAUCCUUUCCAUCCCUGAAUACAAAUUCCCUGAAGGCAGGAAAUUUUUAUUUUUGCUUUUCCAUCCCUCCCAUUUUGCAUAGUGCUUUGUAUAAAGCUUUAUAAAUAUUUGUUGUUGAAGUUGAAUGAUAUCACAGUAAGAGAGCUGCAGAGAAAUAAGAUCUAGGGGAGAAGUUAUAGGGAAUACUAAUUGGGAGAGGAAGAAGAGUAACUCUGGUUCUUCUAGUAGCAACAUAUGGCUGUCAGAGUUGGACUAUGAGGAGAGAGCUGAGUCCUGCAGAAAGACAGCUUUUGAACGAUAGUGCUGGAGAAGACUUUUGAGAGUCCCCCGGACAGCAAGGAGAUCGAAUCAGUCAAUGCUUAAAGAAAUGAAUUCAGAUUAUUCCUUAGAAAGUGAAAUACUAAAGCUGAAGCUGAAAUAUUUGUCAGGUCAUUGAGAAGGGAGGACUCUUAGACAAGACCUUGAGGCUGGGAAAGAUUGAAGGCAGAAGAAUAGGGCAGCAGAGGAAGAGAGAGAUGAGAGUGUCUUGGAAACAACAAAUGUGAGCUUAGACAGAUUUUGGGAGAUAGUAAAAGACAGAAGGGCCUGGGAUUAAAGUUAGAAGGUACUUUAGAAUUCAUUUUGUCCAAAGGCAGCUGGGUGGCUCAGUGGAUUGAGAGCCAGACCUAGAGACAGGAAGUCCUGGGUUCAAAUCUGGCCUCAAACAUUUCCUAACUGGAUGACCUUGGGCAAGUCACUUGACCCCCUAUGCCUAGUCCUUACUGCUCUUCUGCCUGGGAACCAAUACAGAAUAUUGAUUCUGAGACAAAAGGUAAUAGUUUGGGGGGGGGGGGAAGCAUCUUGACUAAUACUCAUAUUUCAGAUGAAAAAUUGGAGACCUUGCCAAUUGAUUGAGAGCUAUUUCAGUUAAAUGGUGGGGUAUAGAAGCACAACCAUAUGGAGUUUGAAGAAUAGUAGGUGUUUUAAAAGUGCAUUUUAAAACAUGACAUGCUAAUGAAAAUAUAGGAGGGCAUCUAAAUGACUAAAAUAAAGUAUCUGCAAAGUUAAACA
rnacentral:lncRNA from 1 species